rnacentral:rRNA from 1 species
AACGAACGCUGGCGGCAUGCCUAACGCAUGCAAGUCGAACGAGACCUUCGGGUCUAGUGGCGCACGGGUGCGUAACGCGUGGGAACCUGCACUUAGGUUCGGAAUAACUCCUCGAAGGGGGUGCUAAUACCGGGUAAUGUACUCGGACAACAGAUUUAUCGUCUUUGGAUGGGCGGGCGUUGGUUUAGCUUGUUGGUAGGGUAAAAGCCUACCAAGGCGACGAUCCAUAGCUGGUCUGAGAGGAUGAGCAGCCACACUGAGACUGAGACACGGCCGAGACUACUACGGGAGGCGGCAGUGGGGAAUAUUGGACAACGGGCGAGGGCCUGAUGCAGCAAUGGCGGGUGAGUGGUUAAGUCGUUAGAGAUAUAAAGCUCUUUUACCCGGGAUGAUAAUGACAGUACCGGAAGAAUAAGCACCGGCUAACUCCGUG